UAUGAGAAGAUUAUUCUAAUGGCUUAUUCUAAUGGGAGCCAUUUUCUUCUGUCGAAGAUGCUCCACUCACAGUGCAUCGUGGACAGCAAGGGUCUUCACAUGGACUGCAGCAUUGUGGACAGCAAAGAUGCCUCUUCCAAUAUAUUUCUUUAUUGCAUGCGUGUGUAAUAUGAUGUAUAUAAAUAUCUGCUGCUAUUGCAGCAGGUGGUGUGAGAGAAAAUAUUCAAUCCAUUUUUAAUAGUACCAUCACAACUCUGGGAUAUGGAGAUAAGAGCUUUUCGACUCAAGCAGGGCGUGUUUUUGCAGUAUUCUGGAUAUUGACAGGUACCAUUUGUUUAGCUCAGUUUUUCCUCUACAUUGCCGAGCUAAAUGCCCAGAGCAGACAACGGGCAUUAGUAAAGUUGAUUCUUACUCGUAGGAUGGCCAACGUAGAUUUGGAGGCAGCUGAUCUUGACGAUGAUGGCUCUGUUGGGGCUGCUGAAUUUGUCAUAUACAAGCUCAAAGAGAUGGGGAAGAUUAGCCAGGAAGAUAUUAGACUUGUAAUGGAGGAGUUUGAAGAUCUUGAUGUUGAUCAGUCAGGAACGUUGUCAACAUCAGAUAUAAUGCUUUCGCAAUAACCUCAAAUCAAGAAGUAACUCUGGCAUCAUGCUCUGAGUAUUCUGAGAGGUGUCUUUGUAAGUUCGUGAUUUGUAUGAUUGCUGACGCUUUCUGUGAUGUGAAUUUCUUUACUAUGUCCAACAUAUCUCUUCCUACAUAAAGACUAGGUUAAAAUGGUUCUGUUCUUUA